rnacentral:lncRNA from 1 species
CCCUCCGACCUGAGACCGUCACGAUGACUUGCAAGCAACUCGCUGCACUUAGGCACUGGACUACCUGAAUUUCUAAUUCAGUGACGGAAGGCUGCUGGGUGGAGUCAAGUACUUGACUUGUCGGUGCGUGUGUCAAGAUGGGAUUGACCACUCCAGUUUAGGAGCUGUGUACAGUCAUAUUUCAAUUUAGCAAAACCUUGGUUAGGAUAGUCUUUGUGAGGAGUCACAGGACUGUUUGAGUUGAGC